GCCUCUGUAGCUCAGUUGGUUAGAGCGCUGCUCCGGAAUCGCAAGUCCGUAGGUUCGAUUCCUACCAGAGGAC
rnacentral:tRNA from 1 species